UCUGAAAUCAAAAUAAAAAAAUAUUGCGUUAGUACAUUGUGUUACGAAGGACCUGAACGAAGGGUUUCGUAAAAUUUUGAUUUUUACAAAAAUGACAAUUUUACGAAAAAGUCAAUUUUUCGAGGUGAACAGAUUUUGGUUUUUUUGCAAUAAAAAAAAUUUUUAAUCGAAAUAAAAAAUCCUUCGUGGAGGCCCUGCCUAUUUUAAUAACAAAUAAGCAGGUAAAAUUUUAUUUUGAUCGGUGAAUUAGUUUUUAAGUAACUUUGGUCACCGCAACCGUAUUUUUAUAAAAACAUAGUUUCGAAAUAAUCGCGUUUAAAGUUUCAAGUCUAUGUUUUUUAUAAUUAAAACUAAUUUUUUUAACUUAUAUAGAAUCAUCCAUUCCAGGGCCAUAAAGGGUCCUUUCUGCAUUUUCAGAACCACCUCCAAAACGUCGAGUUGUUGUUGUCUACGAGCCAUUCUUUGCUCUCUAGUGGCCGCAUGCGCGCGCUGCUCGGCAAUCGUAACACGGGUCUCGUCUUCUUUUACAAUAUAUUCGUGGGCAUUUCGGUCACAGGGUAUGCCUAAUGCCUCAAAAAUCUUCAGAAGGGCUAUGUUACCUUUGAUAAAAUUACAGGCAGAUGUGUAUACUGCAAUUUUAACAGAAAGUGCACCGCUCGGAAGAUUCUUCAGGCUGAUUUUUCAGAUGAGUUGGUUAUAAACUUUCGUUAUUGUUCUGCGUGAAUCCGCCAACGCAUCUAUCAAGCAAUUCCCUUUUUAAAAGAUCUACGUAGAUGGGCUUGAUAGCUUCCAAAACAACUGGAGGAAGAGGCUCAUACGUGUGCUUGAAAUCUGCGAUCUUGUUCUUUUUAUCUUCGGGCAGCGCUGCAUAAGCUCUCUGCUACUCACACCACGAGUCACUUUCGGGCGGGCAUUUUUCGUGAUGCGGAGCUUCGUCGGUAGAGCUAUAAUGAUUAUAUGUUGCCCAAAUCGCACUUUCCAUUGCUUCGGCUGAAUCUGCGCGACGACGAAUUGCUAAGCCGUAAUACAUCGCCAAUUUGUCAAUCAUUUUUUUCGGUUAAUUUUCCCUUGCUUCCGAGCCCCUUAUUUUUCUUUUUACACUCGCCCAAUCGGAUGCCCAUUCUUUUUUGCACGUGUCCUACACAUUCUUUUUUUAUGACACUGAUUUCUCCGUAAGGUCCCCUUGUCAGUUGUAUCUGAUUUUUUUGACCACAGUUCACGCAUUUUGCAGUAUGCAUUUUUUAUUUCAAUAUCUAAAAUCUUCUCAGUAUAAUAUCCAAUCAAGGAAGACACUUCGAACAGUGAAGUAAAUCCGAGUUUUUUUUAUGUGCCAUUACCAGAUACUGUUAAAUGAUUCUUAUUCGGCCCAUCGGUUUUCUUUAUUUCUUGCUUCACUAGUUAAAAAAGCGGCAAAAGCUUUAGUAAAUGCAGAGAAAUAAACUGAUCGUAACGAACUUCCGAUGUUGCACGUUUGAGUGUCUUGUACACAACUGGUCCAGAACACACUAAUACAAAUGUACUUGAAUGUAUACAUGUAUCUCGAGCGAUACAAUAGAACGUUACUUGGAGAGAGAAAGAGACCGUACCACCCAUGUUACUAAGCGGCAGCUGCGCACUGUGUACAUUUACGUUACGCACAUGUACAUUAAGAAAAUGCAAUAAAAAAAUCGAUUUUUUUAUCUACCCAAGUAGGUAUAACCCCUUAACAUAAAUUGUCCAAAUUGCACUUGUGAGCAAAUCUGACGACAGAUUGAAGGUUCAGGAAAUUUUACAUAAGAAAAAGUUGGUUUGAAAUUUUUUGAGGAUUAGAUUUAUAGUAUAAAAUACCACUGAACUAAGUCACAGAAAGCUGUUUAUUUGAGACUUGAUGGGUUAAAUAAUUUUUUCAAAAAUAACAGGCCUGCGAAAUUUUGUCUACUGAGAUGUAACAGUGUUUUCCAACGAUAUUUAUAGCGCUGAAUUUGUGGUGACAAAUCCGAAUAUGACUGAGAAUUUACCUAUCACGUCAAGAUUUCGUUAAUCUUGCUUAGAGAUUCAAAUUCCUUAAAAAAUGUACGGAAAUGCAUGUGUAGUAAAAAAUCAAAAAAUUUGUUUGUAUAGUUAAAAACAAUAAAGGAAUUAAGGUGAGCAAUUUAAGGCAUAAAAAUUUAGUGGAAUUUAUUAUUAUAAUGCAAAACUGAAUUAGCAAAAUCCUGACGUGUUCGACAAAUCCCCGGCCAGAUUCAGAUUUGUCACUACAAAUUCAGCGCUACAAAUAUCGUCGAAAAACACUGUUAUAUCUCAGCGGACAAAAUUUUGCAGGCUUAUUUAUUAAAAAAUUAUUGCAAUUUCCAAUAUGCAAUUAUACUUUUUUAAAAAGCAACUGUAUAUUUUCUUUAGACCAAUUGUUUCAGUUUCUGUGCUAAAAAAUACUGAAAUAGUUUGUACUUUAUUAAAAUAGAGCAUAAAAAGUAGAAAUAGUGUUAUUAUUUUUAAGAAACCUUUUUCUCUUUUUGGUAUAAUAUUUUUCUAAAAUACUAUGGCUGAGUUUUGAUAUUACUGCCAGUACUGAAAAUCUAUAGUUUUUGUUACGUACACUAUAUACAUUGGCGCAAAAAAAAA
rnacentral:lncRNA from 1 species